CACGAAAUGACGACUUUUCGCUGCACCUGUGGACCUGCGACACUUCAUCACUGACUGAUUGGAAAUCUGAGCUGAGAGAAUUCCUCGAGAAUAGGAACAAAAACAAUAGAAAGCCUGCUAGGCUGCAAAGAACCUAGAUGAAAUAAACACAAUAAUGUCCUCACACCGCCUUAUGAUUCUCCAUUGGGUUAAACCAGUGCAGUGCCUUAAGUGACUUUAAUUAGUAUCCUGCAGGUGCAAUGGAAAAACGAGCAGCGUUAUCAAUAAAAAGGAAGAUGUGCUUGCUAACUACACAUCCUGACUUCAUAUUUGGAAUUUGAUUAUUAUUUUAAGUAGCCAUCGCAUUAUUUAUUAUAACAGAUAUGAGUUUGCAGGUCGUUUGCUCAGAAGACGUCCCGAGGUCAUCAGAUGAAUAUGUCAGUUUACAGUUUGGAAAACAGACCCGAUGGAUUUCAUAAUCACAAGGCGAACACUGAUAUUGGGUGUUAGCUUGAAAUGCGGCGGACUCAGUUCCUAUAUUUAUCACUCGAAUCAGCCUGACUCAUGAUCUGUCACUGGCGGGUCAAUAAGUGUCAGUCAUAUCUAGUCAAAGUCAUCUGAACCUUUCGGCGUGGGAUAUUACAGUAAGUUCCACACCCAGAGAAUCAAGCUCAGCUGAUGGUAAAGCUCGGUUGAGUUGCUGUAAACUAACCUCGACGCAGCCGGUCAGGAUGGGAGUUUGUGGAUCUAAGCGCUCUGAGUCACGGCCGCCCGGCUGUUUGCAAGUACAGGAGCACACAGCCGCUCCUGAUGGGUUCAUAGGUCACUCUCAUGACCCUAGGGCACACAAAAUGUUCAGCGGCUACAGCACGGAGAAUUCCACGUUUGUCCAUGUGGUGUAGCACAACGGUGUCAGGUCACAUGGUGUAUUGUCAGCCAGCAGGCAGUUCGAUUCUAAAACUAGCCCCAGCAAGCUGGGGAGCUGUUCAAAUGUGAGUCAGAAGUUGCUCACCAAUUCUCCAUAACCGCUUAUCCUUCAUUCAUUUUAUUUGACCCUAUUAUGCAUCUUUAAUGUAUUUAAUGUGUUGUGCAACCUUGGUGAGCAUGAAAUGUGAAAUGGUAGUUUAUGCCCACUUGGCUGUAUUGUUUAUUCUGUGCCCGUUUAGAACAGUUCCUGAUGUUCUCUCUGAACGCCACAAUUAAAGCUCAGAGAAGGUCAGGAUGGAAUCCACGACCAUUUCAAGGACUGACAAGACAAAUAAGCAAACACAGGAGUAACAACAGACAUCCGAAGAACCUUAGACUGGUUUGGAGCUCAUUGUGGCACAUUUUACACAUAAUGCAGACGUUCGUGAAAAGUUCCCCGAUAUUAGCAGGAGCUAGAAACAAACCCGCUAUUAAGGCAAGUUCCUUUACAUUGUUGCUUCUAAUCAAGCUCCAUGUCCAUUCCUGUUGUUCUCACAUCAAAAUCCACCACAUAACUAUUUAGAACUGGAAUUUGCUUCUUAAAAAUACAAAGCCUUUCACUUCACAAGAUGUUAGCUGUUGGAUUUGUGGAUCGUUAUACUCUCAUACUGGCACCCAUCCGCUGCAGAAGACUCAUUGUUGAGCAAGUAAUGCAAUGCAAUAUUUACCCAAAUCUGUUCAGGAGAUCAUACAAACUUGUCUACAUCUUGCAUGGCCCGAGAAUGAGUUUUUAUUUUGGGUAAAUCAUUCCCAUUCCUUUAAAACUAAGUCAUUAACCGGAGAGAAAUAGGCAGAUGAUUCCGACAGGUAACAGAAGUAAGAUUUUUAUCACAAUAUGACUAAAAACUCAGCUGCGAAGACUGGUACACAUAUAAUUGUCAAAAGCCAGACAGAUUUGAUUAAAAGUGUUUAAUUGAACUGCCGAGAAGAUUAUGCAUGGAGGUUAGAAUCAGUUGCAUAAUGUUUAUAUUUGCCAAAUGUGGCAGUGUAUUAAAUAAUUGAUUAAACUCUGCACGGGGCACAAGAUGACUCAUGAUGCUGAGCAGAGCAAGCCAGUUCAGAUUCUUA